UACGGAGGGUGCAAGCGUUGUCCCGAUUUAUUGGGUUUAAAGGGUGCGUAGGCGGCCCGUUAAGUCAGCGGUGAAAUCCCGGGGCUCAACCCCGGAACUGCCGUUGAUACUGGCGGGCUUGAGUUCGGUGAAGGCGGGCGGAACUGGCGGUGUAGCGGUGAAAUGCUUAGAUACCGCCAAGAACCCCGAUUGCGUAGGCAGCUCGCUGUGCCGAAACUGACGCUGAGGCACGAAAGCGUGGGGAGCGAACAGG
rnacentral:rRNA from 1 species